AAAAUAGAUAAGACUACACCAAGCUUCUGAAAAGCAAAGGAAACAAGAGAAUGAAAAGGCAACCUAUGGAAUGAAAGAAAAUAUUUGCAAAUCAUAUAUCUGAUUUGGGCUAUAUGCCCUUGAUCAACUGAGGUUUAUUAAUUAAUGUAAUUCACCAUACUAAAAGUCUGAGGAAUAAAGACCACUUGAUUAUAUAAAUAAAUGCACAAAAUAAUAUAGCCAUUCAUGAUAAAACUCUAAGCAAACUCGGAGUAAAAAUUAACUUCUUUGAGCUAAUAAAGGCAUCUACAAAAGCCCUACAGAUAACAUCAUAUUUAAUGAUGAAAAACUGCUUUGCCACUAACUCAGAACAAAGCAAGGAAGUCUAGUCUCACCACUCCUGUUCAACACUGCCCAUCCAGAAAAUCCCAGGGAAUCUACCAAAACAACCUCUUUGAACUAAUAGGUCAUAAGAUAUAAGAUCAACACACAAAUCAAUCUUCUGGACUCCAUCUCCUGUUCUAUUGAUCUAUGUGUUCAUUUUUGUGCCAAUACUAUACUGUUUUGAUUAAUUACAGUUUGUAAUAUACCUUGAAAUCUGGGAUUGUGAUACUUCCAGGUUUGUUGUAUAAUAUUGUAAUAUGUUGUAUAGUGCCAGAUGGUGGUGACCGCAGUUAUGGUAAACAUUGGGUAAUGUGGAGAAUUGUCGAAUCAAUAUUUUUUGAAAGAGUGCUGACAAUACUGACCCCAUCAUUGACUGUGUGUUCCAGACCCCUUGGUGAUUAGCUUACAUACCUUGGAAAUGCCCAUCAAGGUAGUACCACAAGCACUAACUGAAGUAGCCAUCAGUUAGGUGCUUGCAAGCCCUUUGAAGAACACGCAGACCCUUUGAUCUCACUACAGUGCCCCUUUUGUGUGGCCCCUCGCUCUAUAAAAUCUGUGGACUAAGGUCUGAAUUUUGUGGAGCGUAACUAUGCAGGUGACAUGGAUCAUCCUCCACCGGAUCCUUCCUGUCAGUAAGUUUCCCUGAGUAAAACUGUAUAAACUGUA